rnacentral:rRNA from 1 species
UCCAGACUCCUACGGGAGGCAGCAGUCGGGAAUAUUGCGCAAUGGAGGAAACUCUGACGCAGUGACGCCGCGUAUAGGAAGAAGGUUUUCGGAUUGUAAACUAUUGUCGUUAGGGAAGAUAAAAGACAGUACCUAAGGAGGAAGCUCCGGCUAACUACGUGCCAGCAGCCGCGGUAAUACGUAGGGGGCAAGCGUUAUCCGGAUUUACUGGGUGUAAAGGGAGCGUAGACGGCAUAGCAAGUCUGAAGUGAAAGCCCAAGGCUCAACCAUGGGACUGCUUUGGAAACUGUUAAGCUAGAGUGCUGGAGAGGUAAGCGGAAUUCCUAGUGUAGCGGUGAAAUGCGUAGAUAUUAGGAAGAACACCAGUGGCGAAGGCGGCUUACUGGACAGUAACUGACGUUGAGGCUCGAAAGCGUGGGGAGCAAACAGGAUUAGAUACCCUGGUAGAA